rnacentral:rRNA from 1 species
GCGGCGCUCCUACGGGAGGCAGCAGUAGGGAAUCUUCCACAAUGGGCGAAAGCCUGAUGGAGCAACGCCGCGUGAGUGAAGAAGGUUUUCGGAUCGUAAAACUCUGUUGUAAGGGAAGAACAAGUACAGUAGUAACUGGCUGUACCUUGACGGUACCUUAUUAGAAAGCCACGGCUAACUACGUGCCAGCAGCCGCGGUAAUUGA